rnacentral:ncRNA from 5 species
AUAAGAAAUAUUCUGAGAACAAUAUCUUAUCCUUAUAUUUCCAGCGAGCAGGAAAUGGUGUGAGUCCUGCAUUCCCUAUCGAUAAGAUUAUCCUCUCAAACUAUCAAGUCUGAAUCUAGUAAGAUUUGACGUUCCCCACGUUACGGGAUAAGAGAGAGAAAGACUAAAUCUUUUUCCGAAUAAAGGUGGUACCACGAUUUUCGUCCUUUUU